CUCUCUCUUCACACAAUCUUCAUCAUCUUUAUCUCUCUCAUCUCUCAUCUCUCUCUCGAAUCUUCAUCCUGAUGAAAUGAAGAAACUUAAAUCUUCAUCAACUUCAUCUGAUGUUCUUACCUCCCAUGUUUUCCGAUGAUGUCCUUACCCCCUGGCUGCAGAAGCGGUGGUGGCGGUUGUACGGAGGCAUAAGAUCACACUCCGACCACCGUAUCCUCUGCCACCGUUACAGUAUCAUCUGCCACCGUUCACCACCAUUCAACAGAGAUAAACCCCUAGACGCCGCCGCAUAGGGGGUGGGUGUCGUGUCUGAAAGUUGCCAGUUGUACCAGCCGCCGCCACCACCGUUCACCACCAUAUCUUGUAAAUUUACAAGUUGAGAUGCAUAAGCAUUUAAUUCGUUGAUGUGUUUGAAUUUUUGGGUAAUGGCUCGUGGUUUCUGUUUUCUAGAUAUGCGAAGAUGUAUGGGGUAUUUUGGGGAUUUCGUUGAGAUAAAACCCCUUUGUGAAGCCCAAGUUGGUUCUGUAAUACUUUAGUGGGUUUCUAAUUUGCAAAUUAUUUUUUGGCUCUUCAAUAUUUGGGGAGCAGAUUGCUUUUGAAUUGUAGAUAUUGUCAUGGGCAGUGGGUUUUUAAUUUGCAAAUUAUGAUCUGCAUAAAGUGAGUUGCCUUUUAUUUUCGAUCUUUGGAUUGAUUUGUGUUUUUGAUAUUUUGGGUUGAGUUGGCAGUGAUAGGUAGAAACCAAUUUUUUCGACAGUUGAUGACGAUGGCGCGGCAAGGAUGGCGGAGGGUAGGUUUUUGAACCUGCAACCCCAUUUUGCAGCCUUUGAUUAUUGAAAACUUUGAGCCAAACCCCUUUUUUUCAAGAUCCACACAUUGUUUUGAUUUUUGUUGUUGGGGUUUAUAUUUUUUUUUCAGUCGAUGAUGAUAAGUUCAACUUAUCUGAGACACCAACUGAGUCACGAUUUUUGGGUGAGUUCGUCGUAUUUGAGUGCUUAUGCGCAUGGUUGAUCCUAAGUCGUCGUAUUCGUCUAAAGCGUGAGAGAAGUCAAUGCGUGCACUAAUGAUACAGAGAAGGUGCGCAGUGAGUUGAGGGCUCGCGCUGUCAUGCUUUCUUGGUGU